AUUGAACGCUGGCGGCAGGCUUAACACAUGCAAGUCGAGCGAGCGGCGGACGGGUGAGUAAUGUCUGGGAAACUGCCUGAUGGAGGGGGAUAACUACUGGAAACGGUCGCUAAUACCCCAUACCAUCAGAUGCGCCCAGAUGGGAUUAGCUAGUAGGUGGGGUAAUGGCGACCCUAGGCGACGAUCCAUAGCUGGUCUGAGAGGAUGACCAGCCACACUGAAACUGAGACACGGUCCAGACUCCUACGGGAGGCAGCAGUGGGGAAUAUUGAACAAUGGGCGCAAGCCUGAUACAGCCAUGCCGCGUGUGUGAAGAAGGCCUUCGGGUUGUAAAGCACUUUCAGCGAGGAGGCGUUACUCGCAGAAGAAGCACCGGCUAACUCCGUGCCAGCCGCCGCGGUAAUAC
rnacentral:rRNA from 1 species